GAGGAAACUUGUGCUAAUACCGGAUAAGUCUUUACGGAGAAAGCUUUAUGCACCAUUGGAUGAGCCCGCACUUGAUUAGUUUGUUGGGAGGGUAAUGGCCUACCAAGACUAUGAUCAAUAGCUGAUUUGAGAGGAUGAUCAGCCACAUUGGGACUGAGACACGGCCCAAACUCCUACGGGAGGCAGCAGUGGGGAAUCUUGCACAAUGGAGGAAACUCUGAUGCAGCGAUGCCGCGUGAGUGAAGAAGGCCUUUGGGUUGUAAAGCUCUUUCGUCGGGGAAGAAAAUGACUGUACCCGAAUAAGAAGGUCCGGCUAACUUCGUGCCAGCAGCCGCGGUAAUACGAAGGGACCUAGCGUAGUUCGGAAUUACUGGGCUUAAAGAGUUCGUAGGUGGUUGAAAAAGUUGGUGGUGAAAUCCCAGAGCUUAACUCUGGAACUGCCAUCAAAACUUUUCAGCUAGAGUAUGAUAGAGGAAAGCAGAAUUUCUAGUGUAGAGGUGAAAUUCGUA
rnacentral:rRNA from 1 species